ensembl:lncRNA
GGAAGGCUCGCGCCCAACAGUCUUCAGGUCGGUUUUUUUUUAGGGGGGUGAGGCGUAGGGGGUGCUGAUGGUGUGAGAGGUCCGGUCUGACUUGAAGACACCCUGCCCUAGGUACCAGCUGGAGAUGUUCUGUCACUUCCAGGACGUUGAAGACCUGAAUCCAGCAUACUCACCGUUUGUAUUUGGAGGAACACGUGGCUGGAACGGAUUCUGGAAUCAUCCUUUGAUACCUAAAAUGGGUGUGCAAGUUGACAGUGGACAAGAAGGCGUCUGGGAUUGAUGGAUCAGAUGAUGGGUCUGUGAAGACAAUGAAGCCAGGAAUUCCCAGUGAGCCCAGCCAGCCAUGCCUGAUCCAUCAAGGGAGGUAGGCCAAGGGAGCUUCAUGAACUGGCCCCCGCCAUGGAUCCCCAGAUCAUGCCAGGGAAACACUGGUCUGCCAGGUGGAGAAGAAGGGACGAUCUGCUUUGUCCUCCUGAUUCAUGGCGGUCAAAAUAAGCUGAGCUUCUCUCAGUUUCUUCCUAGCUGGGCCCUCACUGAGGACAAGACUCGAGUCAUCCAUGUUCUACGUGAUGUCUAAACCAUUCCGACCUUUGCUCUCCACCUCUAACCCCGCUGCUUCCCUCCUCAACGUCUGACUCUGAUUCCAUCUUCACCCUGGGUUACCAUGACUACCCCAAACAUGAGCUCCACAAUCUCUCGGGGUCCUCAGCUGCCCACCUUCAGUCUUGGGACCUGUGUGACUUCUCCCUGUGUGAAGAGGAGCUCCUCUGCCCUCCCGGUGUGGUACUGCACUGCUGUCACACUUUCUUACCCCUCAUCCCUUCCCUCCCCUCCGCCACUGGCUCAACUGCACGGCUGAGUGGGGAUGAACCUCGAGGACGUUAGGGCAAGGAAGCCAUGGCGGUGUAAAGUUACACACCCAACCACUGCAUUUCAAGGUGUGAUCCACGCAGUGCUGAGGCACAACAUGCAAACCAAUAAAGAUCUUUCUACACAAUUGAAAGAGAAGAAGGAAUCACAGGAGAACGCCGUGUGCACAGGUCGGCCCUUCCCGAGAUCUGAGUUUGGUGACUGGGAUCUCUCCGGAUCUAGAAAUAAGCCACCUGGUUGUGGCCUACCAGACUGUUGUGUGAGUCUCAGGUCCUGUAACAAGAAGAGAAUACGCACACGGGAGCGCUUGGAUGUGCACAAAGGCAAGUGCUGCUCCAUAGAGAGAAAUGCAGUCAUUAGAAUGAACGCCCUUGGCUUGUUUAAUGUUUAAUAUGUACAGCUUUUAGGUAUGAUCUCUAUAGCCUGUUCACAUAUGAUCUUGACUCUCAAUCACCAUCCAGAUUCAAAAGGAACUGGAAGUUUGAAAAAUAGCUUUUAAUAACAAAGUUUACAAAAAGCUCUCAAGGUUGGAACACAUCACUAACAUGUGCUCAGAGACCAAAGAGAUCGAAUGGCUUGACUCUGCUGAGAGAGAGACUUGGCCAGUGUGCUUCUAAGAGGCAGAGAGGAGGAGGCCCACCCUCGGGGAGGACAUAUUUGCUUACAUGAAUCCAGCCUAUAGUGAGCAGCCCCAGUUCCUCCUGAAUCAUAAACAGCUCUCCUCAUUCUUCGUGUGACAAUAAUCAGGGCCUCUGUCUUGCUCUGGGAUAAUCACAUGUCUUAUGAGGUACACUUCUCUCACCUGCCAUGAGAAAACUUGUCACAAUUUCCUGGGGGCCAUAAUGACCCACAGUGGACAGAAAUUUUCUUCUCCAAGUCGGGCCAGGGCUGACUGGGAGCUGUGACUGUGGACUUUGCUCUCAGCUUGAGUGGAUGGAGUGAUAUUUCUGGAUUUGACUGUGAAGUGAUUCUGAAGAAACUUAUGUGUGGUUCACAGACUCGGUAGGCAAGGCCCACCCUUCACUCAGGCAGCAAUGUGAAGCCAUCUGAGAGCCGCACUGGGAGAAGCAGUGUGGAGCAGACACUUCCUCUGCGUCUCCUGGGAUAGACAUGCUUGCUUUAGCUUUCUUCAUCAGAUAUCCAAGUCUGUUCACUCUGAGGAGUGAGCGUGUGGUUCUCUAGUCUCUUCAGAUUCUCAGACUGAGACUCACAAAAGUGGCUUCCCUGGUCUGUGCCUUUCAGACAUGGGCUGCGCCAAGCUACAGUAUUCCAGAGUGUCCGCCUGAAGAAAGCCUGCUGUGGGGAUGCUCAGGCAUAUUGCCACAGAAUGUCCCCAGUAGAGCGAUGCUGUAGGGACGGGGCAGCCCCUCGAGGCCCUGGAACUGCAGGGCGAUCAUGCGCUCAUGCAGCCUGGCAAAGCUGCAGCCCGAGACUCCAACUGUGAAAGCGAAUGUGCACUGAGCCCAGCACAGCCACAGCGGCAGGUCCUCAGCUUAGCUGGAGUCAGUCACCCCUCUCCCGAUUAUUUCUCCCAGAUGAACAGGAACUGAACAGCUGGCUCCUGCUCCUUCAUCACAUUUUGCCAGUGUGUGCUCUUCUGACUGCACAGGCUCACGGCUGCAGAAGGCUAACUCAUCAUCAGGAAGCCUGGUGGUUACAGCCAGGCAAGGCUGAUCAUCUCACCUGUGUCUAAUUGAGACAGCACUACAGUUAGAAGACUGUCCUCAUCCAAGAUGAAGUUUUUGACUCAUUCAAGUCAAAGGCCAUUUUUAUAAAUUAGGGUGGCAGGACACAAAAGGACAGCACUCAUCACACGAGGUUCUGCACCACAGCAGAAUAAGCAGGACCAUGGAAGCAGAGGAGACUGAGGACGUGGAUGGGGGACGCAGCCUUCUCUGUGGUGCUCAGUGCCCCAGACUUCAGACACAUGUCCACCAGCACUGCCUGGCCUUACCAGUGAGCCCCAGUCUCACGCUGUGUGGCUGACCCAGACGCAUUGGGGACCACUUCUGCACAAGGCUUUUCCAAGGCAGGAACCUGUGGUAACUUACCUGGCCUUGUUUUCAUCACACUCCCCCAGGCUGAGUGGCUGAUGUGGGACUAAGUCGUCGUCAGAGGCUUCCUCUGGGCCACACCCCAGUGGUGGCUUGAAAGGUGCGGUUCCUGCUGAAGAGGCUUCAGCCUUUGUAGAUGACCAUGCUGCACCAGGGCGCACGCCCGCGCGCGCACACACACACACACACACACACAUACACACUUUCUUCCUCACUACCCACUAGCCCAGCUGUGUGAGAGCCCCCUUUGGCAAAUCCUUCUAAGGUUUUUGUAGAACAGUUUUGAUAUCUUCCCAGAAAGCAGCAUUCUAUGCCACUUCCUAUCUAAUACAGAAAGAGAAAAGGAUUUAGGCUAACACUUCAAAUCUCGGAAGAAAAAGCAUAGUCAGCACAGAGAUGACCAAAACAUAGUCCAGGCCCGACAUCACAGCAUAGAAUCUGUGCUCCCCUCUGUAACCAUAAGCAUAAUGGCGCCGUGGUACACAGAUGCUACCCAUGUACUCAGUGGCUAUAUGGCUGUCUUCUGUAACAGCUAAGUCUCAAUUUUCUCAGGAAUCUACUUCGCUCUGUGUGUGCACACUUGUGCCUGUGUGUGUGUGAUCACGUGCACGUACAUAUGUGCAAGCGAGAGCGGAGGUUAGACAUAGAUUUUUUUGGUAUGUACUUCCAAUGUGGUCUACCUUAUUUUCUCUGGGAAAGGGUCUUUAAUUAAUCUGAAACUCUCACAGUCGGCCUGGCUGGCUGGCCAGUGAGCCCCAGGAGUUGACCCAACCUGUAAUUGCCUCCUUAGUAUUGUGGCUAUCAGCACUUAUAACUCUGCACGUGUUUUUAUUAUCAUUAUCCUCGUUAAUUCUUGAACUCUUGGGUCCUCAUGCUUGCCUGACUAGCCCUUUAUGGACUGAAUGUCUCCAGCCUUCAUUUAAAGCUUCACUCUAAUCUUGGUGCACCUUCGCUGUCUGUCCCCUGAAACCCGUCAUCUACAGUUCCGUUCUGUAGCUGUGCUGAUAUGUGUAUUCUGUAUCCUAAGCAAGACUGACUAGUCAAACCAACUCUACAGUUGGUUUUAGCCAUCUCAGCUAAAUUCCGAUUGGAAACAAAGACUCCAAUUUUCCUCCCCAAGGUCACUUGAAUUCAGUGACAUGUAAAAAACACUAAAUGUCAAAAGAUACACACCUUUUGCUUGGUUCUUUAGACGUGUUAGGAUGAGAGCAGCUUACCCUGCCAACCAUUAACACAGGCACACAGAACAGCCAAGCAGAUACAUACACAGCAGGGAUAGGUGACUCCAGUGUGCAUUCCUGCCCAACACCUAAGCACUGCAGAGUGCUGGGAUCACCUCCAGGAGCCGGAACUAACGGUCCCCAACAAGACCCACUGCAUAUCCCUGGGAAGAUCAGUGGCUACAAAAAGCUUUAGGGCAAUGGUCCUCAAAGGUCCUAAUGUUAGAACACUUUAAUACAGUCCCUCAUAUUGUGGUGAUCCCAGCCACAGAAUUAUUUUGUUACUUCAUUACUGUAAUUUUGCUACUGUUGUGAAUCGUAAUAUAAAUAUUUUUGAAGAUAGAGCUUUGCCAGAAGGGUCUCGACCCACAGGUCACAGGCACUGAAUCCAAACUUCCCAUACCUGUGAUCUGAAAUGCCUUGUGUUCUGGUAAGAAUCUUCACCAUGUCCAAAUUUCUUGCUGUAGAUAUGGCAGAAAGUUCACAGAUGUAUGUCCUCAAGUCGCCCUCUUGGGGACAUGAGUCAAAUGUGAGAUUUUUCAUAUUACCUUUGGAAGUUUAUUGAGUCACUAGUCUUUAUGCCCCUAAAACAAACUAGCACAUUAAAGUCGCUCGGUCCGAAGGCACCAGCUGAGUAGCUGACACACACUACACUGUCUCUGUGACCUUCACUGUCUGUCCCCUGUAACCUGUAGUAGAAGGUGACUUCAGGUUCUCAGACCUGGAAAAAAAAUGGCAUUGACAGUCUGCGAUAGAAACCAAAAUGGAAACGUGGAGCAGUUCUAAUGUCAGAAAAGAGGGAAAGAGGACAGGCGGGGAGAGGCAGCAGUAUCUUGUGACUUCACCCCUGCCCUGCCGUCCUGCUCCUCUCUUGUUGCUCUGCUGCACCAGCUCCUGUCCUGCCCAGUGCUGAGGAGCUGAGGCCCUGAACCCUGCCAGCCUGUUCUCUCUAAACAUCACAUGCCCUCUAUGGGUCUCUACUCAGCAUGUGUCUUGCCUCAGCAAAACCCCAUCCAGCCAACUUUGCAAAGAACCCUUAAGUUUCCACUUCCCACGUAUCAGUAGGAUACGUCCUGUAAUUUUAGAAGGCAGGGUAACGCCCUAACUGUAAUAUAAGGAAUAAACCAAACACAUGCUAGUGCCUUUCAGUGUAUGAAGGUGUAGGCUUGACUACACUAGAUACAAGGAUAGGUCAGUACUCCCUGUGUCAAAAAAUUAAAUUGUGUCUUACUGGGCUGGAGAGAUGGUUCAGCGGUUAAGAGCACUGGCUGCUCUUCCAGAGGUCCUGAGUUCAACCCAUCUGUAAUGGGUUCUGAUGCCCUCUUCUGGCCUGCAGGUGUACAUGCAGAUAGAGCACUCAUAUACAUAAAUCAUUUAAAAUUUGUGUCUUACUGUUCUAAUGCUAUGAAGAGACACCAUGAAGAAGGCAAGUCUUAUAUAAGGAAGUAUUUAAAUGGGGGUGUGUUUACAGUUUUAGAGGGUUAGUCUGGCACAGCCAUAUCUAAUGGGAACACAGCUGUUUGAUAAGAAUUCCGCAAAGCCAAGCCACUAUGAUUGCCAUCUCACCAUCUUUUUUUUUUUUUUUUUCUUUUUUUUCGGAGCUGGGGAACGAACCCAGGGCCUUGCGCUUCCUAGGUAAGCGCUCUACCACUGAGCUAAAUCCCCAGCCCCGCCAUCUCACCAUCUUUAACUUUUGGGUUUGACCUCUGUGUGUUGCAUGCCUGGGGGCUUUUACUAUUUGUACAACUUGGAGAUAUUGAAUUUACAGGAAAUUUCUUGUAGUCUUUUGUACCUUCUCACAGGAGUACUGCUCCUAAGCUUCUCCAGGGAAGUCCUGAGCAUACAACCUCUCCUGCUUUUAGAGAGAUAUUCUUAUAUGGCCAUACUUGAAGGUCUUCCUUGUGCCCUGGAGGUUGUCCUGCACAUAAAAAUGCCAGAGAUCUCCUUAUGAGGCCCUGGCUCCAAGAUAUCCUUGGAACAUCUGCCCUGUACUUACUCAGGAACAAGAUAUCACUGCUGGUUCAGCAGACAAUGAAGGAUUUAUUUCUUCAGUCAAAGGCAGAAAAGGCAGUUUUAGGGGUGGGGAUGGAAGUACAUCUUCUGCUGAUGGUGAAGAGACGACUUUCUCAGGUGAGAGAAACCCUUGAAGAGUUCAAAGUUCUCAACUUUGAUAGAUAGGAUCCUCCCACACAUCACCUGUACUGGCUGGUUUUAUGUGUCAACUGACACAAGCUAGAGUUAUCACAGAGAAAGGAGCUUUCCUUGAGGAAAUGCCUCCAUGAGAUCCAGCUGUAAGGCAUUUUCUUAACUAGUGAUCAAGGGGGGAAGGCCCAGCCCAUUGUGGGUGGUGCCGUCCCUGGGCUGGUAGUCCUGGGUUCUGUAAGAAAGCAAGCUGAGCAAGCCAGGGGAAGCAAGCCAGUAAGAAACAUCCCUCCAUGGCCUCUGCAUCAGCUCCUGCCUCCAGGUUCCUGCCCUGUGUGAGUUCCUGUCCUGACUUCCUUUGGUGAUGAACAGCAAUGUGGAAUUGUAAGCUGAAUAAACCCUUUCCUCCCCAACUUGCUUCUUGCAGGAAUGCAAACCCUGACUAAGACAUCUCCAAAACAAGUCAGCAUGAAGACCCCCCUCUUUACCCAUUAAUGCCUUUUAACUGCUGACACCCUCUGAAGCUGGGACUUGAAUUUCACUGUAAUUCAGUCAACCCUAUAAUGGGGGGCUUCAGUUUGAUUUUCCACAUCUUGAGCCCUGUUGCUGCUGGAGAGAAGACUCACUUCCGGAGCACAUAGAAACCUUG